rnacentral:rRNA from 1 species
UGGAGAGUUUGAUCCUGGCUCAGGACGAACGCUGGCGGCGUGCCUAAUACAUGCAAGUCGAGCGGACCGAUGGGAGCUUGCUCCCUUAGGUUAGCGGCGGACGGGUGAGUAACACGUGGGUAACCUGCCUGUAAGACUGGGAUAACUCCGGGAAACCGGGGCUAAUACCGGAUGCUUGAUUGAACCGCAUGGUUCAAUUAUAAAAGGUGGCUUCGGCUACCACUUACAGAUGGACCCGCGGCGCAUUAGCUAGUUGGUGAGGUAACGGCUCACCAAGGCAACGAUGCGUAGCCGACCUGAGAGGGUGAUCGGCCACACUGGGACUGAGACACGGCCCAGACUCCUACGGGAGGCAGCAGUAGGGAAUCUUCCGCAAUGGACGAAAGUCUGACGGAGCAACGCCGCGUGAGUGAUGAAGGUUUUCGGAUCGUAAAACUCUGUUGUUAGGGAAGAACAAGUACCGUUCGAAUAGGGCGGUACCUUGACGGUACCUAACCAGAAAGCCACGGCUAACUACGUGCCAGCAGCCGCGGUAAUACGUAGGUGGCAAGCGUUGUCCGGAAUUAUUGGGCGUAAAGCGCGCGCAGGCGGUUUCUUAAGUCUGAUGUGAAAGCCCCCGGCUCAAC